GAUGAACGCUGGCGGCGUGCCUAAUACAUGCAAGUCGAGCGAAUGGAUUAAGAGCUUGCUCUUAUGAAGUUAGCGGCGGACGGGUGAGUAACACGUGGGUAACCUGCCCAUAAUACUGGGAUAACACCGGGAAACCGGGGCUAAUACCGGAUAACAUUUUGAACCGCAUGGUUCGAAAUUGAAAGGCGGCAUCGUCUGUACCUUAUGGAUGGACCUGCGUCGCAUUAGCUAGUUGGGGAGGUAACGGCUCACGAAGGGAACGAUGCGUAGCCGACCUGAGAGGGUGAUCGGCCACACUGGGACUGGGACACGGCCCAGACUCCUACGGGAGGCAGCAGUAGGGAAUCUUCCGCAAUGGACGAAAGUCUGACGGAGCAACGCCGCGUGAGUGAUGAAGGCUUUCGGGUCGUAAAACUCUGUUGUUAGGGAAGAACAAGUGCUAGUUGAAUAAGCUUGCACCUUGACGGUACCUAACCAGAAAGCCACGGCUAACUACGUGCCAGCCGCCGCAGUAA
rnacentral:rRNA from 1 species